CUGGAAUAAAGUCAGUGUGGAGCAGAGCUGUGGCUGUCUACCGACUACCUUGGAACUCAAGACUGUAGCAGCAAAUCUUGCCAGAAUUUCCAGCUUACCAUCCUGCCAACUCAGCUUCUUUGGAGAACCCUGAGAAAUUUUCGUCUUUUACAGGUUGGGAAAGCUGUCGUAUUACUAUGAAGUCUGAUCAUGAGUGAAGGAGAGAUGAAGAGAAUAUUGGACAGAAGCA